rnacentral:rRNA from 1 species
GACGAACGCUGGCGGCGUGCUUAACACAUGCAAGUCGAACGGAAAGGCCCUGCUUGCAGGGUACUCGAGUGGCGAACGGGUGAGUAACACGUGGGUGAUCUGCCCUGCACUUCGGGAUAAGCCUGGGAAACUGGGUCUAAUACCGGAUAGGAGCCAUUUUUAGUGUGAUGGUUGGAAAGUUUUUUCGGUGUAGGAUGAGCUCGCGGCCUAUCAGCUUGUUGGUGGGGUAAUGGCCUACCAAGGCGGCGACGGGUAGCCGGCCUGAGAGGGUGGACGGCCACAUUGGGACUGAGAGACGGCCCAGACUCCUACGGGAGGCAGCAGGGGGGAAUAUUGCACAAUGGGCGCAAGCCUGAUGCAGCGACGCCGCGUGGGGGAUGACGGCCUUCGGGUUGUAAACUCCUUUCGCUAGGGACGAAGCUUUUUGUGACGGUACCUAGAUAAGAAGCACCGGCUAACUACGUG